rnacentral:rRNA from 1 species
GGGGUAAUACUCCAUAGUUCGUGAUGACUGGAAUGUUUUGCGAACGAAAGAUCCGUCGCUUCAGGAUGAGUCUGCGGCCGAUUAGGUAGUUGUUGGGGUAACGGCCCAACAAGCCUGUCAUCGGUACGGGUUGUGGGAGCAAGAGCCCGGAGAUGGAUUCUGAGACACGAAUCCAGGCCCUACGGGGCGCAGCAGGCGCGAAAACUUUACCAUGCGGGCAACCGUGAUAAGGAAACCCCGAGUGCCAGCACAGGCUGGCUGUCCGCCAGUGUAAAUAACUGGUGAAGAAAGGGCCGGGCAAGACCGGUGCCAGCCGCCGCGGUAAUACCGGCGGCUCGAGUGGUGGCCACUAUUACUGGGCUUAAAGGGUCCGUAGCUUGAUGUACAAGUCUCUUGAGAAAUCCGCCGGCUUAACCGGUGGGCGUUCAGGGGAAACUGUAUUUCUAGGGACCGGGAGAGGUGAGAGGUACUGCCGGGGUAGGAGUGAAAUCCUGUAAUCCCGGUGGGACCACCUAUGGCGAAGGCAUCUCACCAGAACGGGUCCGACAGUGAGGGACGAAAGCUGGGGGAGCAAACCGGAUUAGAUACCCGGGUAGCCCCAGCUGUAACGAUGCGCGUU